UACGAGGGGGGCGAGCGUUGUUCGGAAUUAUUGGGCGUAAAGAGCUCGUAGGCGGUUUGUCGCGUCGAAUGUGAAAACCCGGGGCUCAACCCCGGGCCUGCAUUCGAUACGGGCAGACUAGAGUUCGGUAGGGGAGUCUGGAAUUCCUGGUGUAGCGGUGAAAUGCGCAGAUAUCAGGAGGAACACCGGUGGCGAAGGCGGGACUCUGGGCCGAUACUGACGCUGAGGAGCGAAAGCGUGGGGAGCAAACAGG
rnacentral:rRNA from 1 species